rnacentral:lncRNA from 1 species
GGGCUCCGAGCCCAGCUCCACUGGCCCCGGCCGCGGGGCUCGCCCCUCCGUCCCCAAACGACCGUCUCCGCUGCCAUGAGAUGCCGACAGCCUGUGCGCUGGCCGCCACCCCCUGCUCCAUCAGGUGCUGGAAUCUGAGUAAAAGCCUGGGCGCGAGCUCCCAGCCCCGGGGCCUGCCACCGGCUCCACGAAGCGGGCAGCUCCAGCGGCCGCCGGGAGAAGGAAGGGCGACCGGGGGAGACGGGUCGCAGGGACAGCACGUGGCGGAAAGUUAGCCCCGGACUAGCACGCCCCACCCGGAGAAGCCGGCCUGGAAGGGGCUGCGGACCACCAGGCGGAGCGGUGGGCGACCGAAGUGCGGCUGGGCUGGCCUCCUCGUCUCCGCACUGGAAGAAUUGCCCUUCCGCAAGUCUUCCCUUCCCACAUGGGGGCCCUCCAGGCCGCACCUCGGUCGCCCACCGCUUCCCUUGAGAAGGGAGACUAAAGACAGGCAUCUGGAAGCUGUCACUGUGGCGCGCGGGCAGACAGGGGAUCCCAUUGGAGAGGAAGAGCCGUAGUAGUCGCUGCUGCCUUCGGCCGACCCAACGGCCGCCUGCUUGGGAGGAAGAAAAAGAACGCCCCCGCUGAAGAAUUAAGGCAGCCAUUGGUUGCUCUAGGGGUAAGGACCGAGGCCUCCCCUGGGUGUCACUGGAGCAGCCACACGUGGGGGAUCAGCCGACUUCAUUCGAUCGCUGGCGACAGACCCGGCGACCCGUAGGAAUGCGCGCUGGGGCUGCGGCUGGAGGGCGUGGCGACGGCAACAGGCGGGUGGCUCGAGUGGGUGCGACUCUGGGCGCGUGGGACUGAGAACUCCUCCGCCGUGGGGAAGAUUUUUUUCCCAGCAGAUGUUGGGGUGUUACUGCGUGUCUGAGGGGCCGGCGGAAUGGAGGGGUCCCGGUGCGUGCAGGGCAGCGAGGUGUGUCAGAUGAGCUGUGGAUCCCUGCGGCCCCACGUGGGCCGGAGAGGGGGGCCCACGACAACAAGCGAUUGAGGACAGCGAUGGACAGGGCGGGGAACCAGCUGGGUGGAAGCACAGGGAGUGUGGUGAGGAGGGAAGGGCUGUGAUCUGCCCUCGGUACGACGCCCCAAGGGACAGCCUGGCCUCCUGAAUUAGGGAAAAGACAACCGGUCUCUUUAGACGGGCGCCUCAGAGUCUGACCUGAGUCUUCAAACGCCCAGAUCCCCUGGGGCCUUGAGUCUCCCUGUCCCGCUGGCCCUGCCUCGCCUGCGCUUCAGGACUCCGACGCCCCCGCAGCCUUGGGCUAAGGGUCAGUCGUCCCCGGGCGCGGGUCCGGCUGCCCUGGAACUGAUGCUGGAUUUCGCUGGUAGGUGGGCUAGGGGCUUGGUCACCCCGUCUGAAUUCCACUGUCAGGACAGCUGUGGAACCGCCAGAGAAAAGUCUGGCCAUGAAAGAAAGGCUGAGAUUUCAAAAGUCAUCAGCAUUAUAUUUCACCUUACUUCUGUCUGUUUUAUUGAGUCCCAUCUGAAUCAGCAGAAGUGGCUGUAGGUUGGCUGGUAUCAUGAAUUUUGGCAGAUUAUGCUUCAUGAGUCAUCAUUCCACACUUUAGGAAGAUAACGAACUAGCCGUUGCAAGACUGCCUUCCUACUCAUCAGCAGAGAAAACAUGGACUUGGAAGCCAGGACACUUGCGUUCGUGUUCCUACACUGUCAAACAUCAUGAGCUAUGCAAAAUUUUUAAGUUGAUGUAUUUGGAUAUAGGCGAAGCUGCUGUAAUGGGAAUAUCCCAAGAGUCAUUGGUUAAAGAAAAAUAGAUGGUUUUUUGUUUGUUUGUUUUUGAGACAGUCUUGCUCUGUCACCCAGGCUGGAGUGCAGUGGUGCGAUCUCAGCUCAUUGUAAACUCCACCUCCUGGGUUCAAGUGAUUCUCCUGCCCCGGUCUCCCAAAUAGCUGGGACUACAGGUGCAAGCCACCAUGCACGGCUAAUUUUUGUGUAUUUCUAGUAGAGAUGAGAUUUCACCAUGUUGGCCAGACUGGUCUCAAACUCCUGACCUCAGGUGAUCUACCUGCCUCGGCCUCCCAAAAUGCUGGGAUUACAGAUGUGGGCCACCGCACCCAGCCUAGAUGUUUAUUUCCGAUUGUUACCUUAUCUACUCUGAUCAAAACAGUCUCACCAGCACCAUAUCCACAUUCUAGCCCAUGGAAAGGGUAAAGAAAAGAAAGUGGAAGAUAUUAGUUUCCAUUUAAGGAAGUGACAUGGAAAUAAUAUAAGUCACCUGUGUUCACAUUCCACUGGCAAAAAUUCAGUCACAGGAAUGUACUUAGCUGCAGAGGAGGCUAGGAUAUGCCCUCCAAAAACUCAGGGGGGAUGUCCUACUUGUAAAAGGAAGAAAUGAAAAAUGGACACUGAGAGGAAAUCAGCAGUCUCAGAGGUAAUAUACUUACACAGUUUUUUAAAAAACAUAAAAUGAUGCAGAAUGAAGUUUCCACUCUAUUCACCAUCUAUCCAGUCCUCAUGCCUCCCAACAAGAGGUAAAUACUUUAUUAUUGUGUCAUGUAUCUUUCCAGAGUUUUUCUAAGCAAUUUGCAACAGAUAUAAAUAUGUAUCCUUAUUUCCUACCUUACCCCAUAUUGUACAUGAAAGAAAAAAUAUACUAUGUAUAACAUUCUGUAUCUUUUUUUCACUUAAUAUAUUUUGCAGUUCCUUUUAUAUAGAUACAUAGUUACCUUCUUCAUUCAUUUAUACAGCUGCCUACUGUUUCUAAGGCUAUAUCACUGAUAAAGUCUCAUGGAUACACUCAAGGUUUUUUCAGUCUUUUAUCAUGAUAAACCAUGCCGCAAUAAUAACCUUGUACUAGUCAUUUUUAACAUGUGAAAGUAUAUCUGCAAGAUACAUUUCCAGAAAUGGGAUUAGCCAAUCAUAUGAUAUUAAGCCAACCUUUUGAUCUCUUUGAGCUGCAUUUGUUAACUAAUAAAUUAAGCUCAUAUUUACCUCAUAGGAUCAUUAUUAUAAUGAAAUAACCAUAUAAACAAUUAUUGUACAACAAUAUCAAAAACAAAAUAGAGAUAAGUUUAUCAAAAUAUGUGUAAGAUCUGUACUCUAAAAACCUAUAAAACUGUGUUGAGAGAAAUUAAAGGAAGCCUAAAGUAAUGGAGAAAUAUACCAUGAUCAUGGAUUGAAAGACUCAAUAUUGUUAAUAUGUAAUUCUCCCUAAAUUGAUCUACAGAUUCAAUAUAAUCCCAAUUGAAAUCCAAGCAAGCUUUUUUUAAAAAUAGAAAUUAACAAUCUGAUUGUAAAAUGUAUGUGAAAACACAAAAGACCUAUGCUAGCUAGCCAAAACAAUUUUGAAAAAGAACAAAGUUGGAUAACUUACACUGUGCAAUUUCAAUACUUAACUAAAAAGCUACAAUAAUCAAGACAUGGAAUCGGCCAACAUACAAUCAUAUAGUCCAGUGGGAGAGCAUAUGGAAAGUCUACAUAUAGACACAUAUGGUCAAUUGAUUGUUGGCACAAGUGCCAAGAUAAUUCUAUGGGAAAGGACAAUCUUUUCAACUAAUCAUACUGGGACUAUUGGAUAUCCAUAUAGAAGAAAAGAACCUCAAACCUUAUUUCACCUAUACACAAGAUUGAAUCCAAUGGAUCAUAAACCUAAGUGUAAACAGUAAAGCUUUGUUUAGAAGAAAACAAAGAAAAACUCUUCAUGACUGUGGGUUAGGCAACAGUUUUGUAGAGGAGACACAGAAAGCACUAACCAACUGGAUAUUAUCAAACUUCAAAUUUUUGCUCCUCAAAAUACACCACUAAGAAACUAAAAAGGUAAGCCACAGACUGGGGAAAAAUACCUACACUAUUUGCAAAAAAUAAUAAUGACAAAAUAUGUGAACAUACACAUAAUAAAAGAAGAUACAUGUUUGGCCAAAUGCAUGUGAAAUGGUGGUCAACAUCAUUAGUCAUCAGAGAAAUGCAAAUUAAAGUACAAUUGUAUGCCUCCUAGUAGAAUGGUGAAAAUUAGAAAGACUGAUGAUUCCAGUUGUUCGGGAAGAUGUGGAGUACUGGAACUCUGAUGCCUUGUUGCUGUCUUUGUUUAGUGUUGGUAUAACAGAAUACCUGAGGCUGGAUAUUUUACUUUAAAAAAGAGGUUUAUUGGGCUUAUGAUUGUGGUGACUAGAAGAGUCAAGAUUGGGCAGCUGCAUCUGAUGAAGGCCUCAUGUUGCUUCAACUCAUGACAGAAAGCAGAAAGAGAGAGUGUGUGUAAAGAUCACAUUGUGAGAGAGGAUGCAAGAGAGAGAAGCCAAGGAAGCCAAACUCAUUUUUAACAACUUGCUAUCAUGGGAACUAAUUCAUUCUCUCAGAGCAAGAACUACUCACCUCUGUAGGAGGGCAUUCAUCUAUUCUUGAGGGAUCCAUCUCCCUCACCCAAACACCUUCCACUAGCCUACCUCCCAACACCACCACACUGGGGAUAAAAUUUCAAUAUGCAUUCCAGUAGGGACAGACCACAUCCAAACCAUUGCAGUUGGUGAAAAUGCAAAAUGUACAAGCACUUUGGAAAACAGAUUGGCAGUUUCUUAUGUAGUUAAACAUAUAUUUACCAUAUGACUCUACAUUUACACUAAAAAAUAGUUACACGACAGAAAUAAUGAGUCCACAAAAAAGCAUUCAUAGCAGCUUUAUGCAUAGCAGCCAAAAAAUGAAACAGCCCAAGAGUUCAACAACAGGUUAACUGACAAACAAAUUGUGGUACCUAUAUUUACAUAAUAGAACCCUGCUUUGGUAUAAAAUAAACCAUGGAUACAUGCAAAAUGUAGAUAAAUCUCAAAUACAUUAUUCUGAGUGAAAGACGUCAGACCCCAAAAUUACAAAUGGUAUGAUUCAACAUAUAUGAAAUUCUAAAAACACAAAACUGUAGUUACAGAAAGCAAAACAAUGGUGGCUUGGGGUAUCAGAUGAGGAGGAUGGACUUGAAAAGAGCACAGGAUGGACUUUUGGAGUGAUAAAAAUCUGUAUCAUGGUUAUAGUGAUGAUUAGAUGAGUGAAUGAAUUUGUCAAAAUUCAUUUGUCUGUACACUUAAAAUGGGUAUGGUUGUAUACAGGUUAAACAUCAAUAAAAAAAUCUUAAAUUGCUGUACUAAUAUUGUUUUUGUGAUAUCAAAACCUGUAAGAGUGGACCUCUUUCUCUACAAGUUAUCACAUGCCAUCAAACUUUUGCUUAGAUUUGUUGAAUGCUUUUCUGUCUCAGGCACCAUGCAAAGUAUUUUGUAUGCAUCUCUCAUUUAAUCAUCACAGCAAUCCUCUGGCAUUUCUCCAUUUCUUGAUGAGGAUACUAAAGCACAGAGACAAUAAGAAUAUUAUCCACUUUGGG